UAACGACCUCGCUUUCAUCCAUGUUAGACUUAGGAUUCUCAAAAUUUUCAACCUCUUUAACGAUCUCUUCUGAAUCUAUAUCCGUUUUUUGCGUUGUCCCGUUGCAAGUCACAAUCGCCGGUUCAUCAUCAAGACAAGUAAUAGCAAUGCUAUGUAAAUAAAGUAAAUGAUAGCAAAAAUAAUAAGAGUGAGAUAUAUAAAAAACUAAAAUGC
rnacentral:lncRNA from 1 species